CUUUUUACUUCCUUCUCUUUUUGCCUCCCAUUUCCUUCUUAUUUCCCCUUCCUUUUUUCCUGCUUCCUUCCCUUCCUCUUCCCUCUCUUUUUCAUUCCUCUUCCUUCUUUCCCUCCUUCCCUCCAUCCUGACAGCCUGCGGUGCUCACCACACAGUCCCCACAUCUAGCACACGCAGAACAGCUCCUGUCCUGUGCUCUUCCUCAGGGAUCCAUCUGAUGUUCACCAGAUACAAAAAGACCAUGUGUGGGUAGCACUGACCAAAAGCGUGGACAUAAGACAGUCUGAGGCCAAGAAGAAACUCGGUGGUGAGAAAGGCCUCUGAGAACUGGAACUCACGUUGGGCCUCAACUACAGAGGGAAGAAGAGGAGGGACACCAGAAGUAGCAUGAACAGUAUGUAUAAAGGUCUAAGAACAGGAAGUAAGCCUGUUCUGCCCAAAAUAGAGAGCCAGGAAAUGGUAUGGGCACACGGUGCUCCCAGGGGGCUGUAACUGACUGUGUAGCCUGCCUUUCCUCCUGUGGGAAGCUCUCUUGAGAGCACUUCAGGAUGCAAGACAUCGGGCAACCAAGCAGCUGUGCUUCACAGUUGGACCACACCAAGCUUCUGCCUAUGCAGCCAAUACUAUCAGGGCAGCCCCACCAUCCACCAAGCGCCCUCAGUGAUCUACUGGUGCCACAUCAGGCCCCACCUCUCCACAUCUCCACACUGGAGCCCAAGCUUCCAAUGCCUUGGAAGACUCACUAAAACAAUAUCCAAACCAUGGCAUAUCUCUAGAAAAAUCUCUUCUUGUGGGCUGUGCCAUCAAUUGACUACCUAAGAGAAGUAGGACUUGCUUUCUGUUUCACCUAAAAGCCCCAUUCUUCACUCCACUGGAGACCCUUUUUCUGGAAUUCACGUGUCCUCCCUGGUCAGUAGCAAAGAUCAAACGCCGAAUCAUCAGCCAGUCCUUCUAUAUAAACAAACUAAGGCCCUGAGACAGAAAUGGCAUGGAGUACUACACAGCGAGCCACUGCCUUCCUCGCUCCAUCUGGUCCUCACCUCACUGUUUGCUCUCCACUGCGCCCCCCAGUGUGAGUCAAGACCCUCUGCCAAGCCCCAAGCUGAGCAAACAAAAGGUAAUUGAUGUUAUAAUCAGGAAAAGCAUUACAGGGAGGGGACAGCAAAUUUCCCGUGAAAAGGAGAUGGCUGGGUUGCUGACACAGGCUACAUCAUUGCAGAACCCUGAGAGCAGGGAAGAUGCAGACAGAAUCUGAAUCAUCCAACAUGAUGGUUAUAUUUCCUACCUCUCCCUCUCCCAUCCCUCUUCUUGAGGAAUUCAGGAGUCACACACAGAACUUCUCAUUUGGUGUCUCACAAUCAAGCCAGGGUCUCAGGUCAGAAGGAAUCAUAGUGGCUCCAGUGACACCCUGCUCAGCAGCUCUGGGCCCUCAGGCACCUUCCCAUCCCCAAGAUGCUUGGUGUCUGUAAGAAGCUUUCAGACCACAGUUAAAGGAACGGAGUAUGGAGCCUGUCCUUCAGAAAAUCAACUCGUGGAAGUAACCAAAGUUCCUGUGGGUAUUGGCUGCAAAAGUGGGUCACUAUGCAGUGGGUGGCUAAAAAAAGGAAAGAUCCAUUUCAGGAACCUAGAGUCGGUUGUUGCUUUGGAACUGAAUAUCUCCUGGGGAAGACCUGGAAAACUCACGCAGGCUGAUGGGGCCAUAGGACUCCAUACAUGAACUAAUCAGCCAAAAACAAACAAACAAAAAACAAACCUGGCAGAAAUCAAGAAAGCCUGAAAGACCCCUCUACCUACCCUACUACCAUGGCCUCCACUGAGUUUUUGCCUGGAGCCAUGCCUGAGAGCCAAGGCUGGAAGUGUUUGAGAUGGGCAUGAUGGAACUGUAUGGACUUCUGUUUUCUGGGUUGCUUCCUUCCAAACUGCUCCAUUUCCCAUGAAGUGGGACACACCAUGGAGAGCUAACACUAAGUUCCAAGAAAGACAAUAUGUGACUCAUAGGAGGAAGGAUGUACUCUUGGGCCCUUCUCUCUAAGAGGUAUUUAGAGAUAGAACCCAGCAAGUAAGACCCAUGUUAUCCUCUCAAUAGAACUAAUCAUCAGCCUUAUAAAGUCUUGUUAUCUGCCAUGGCUUGAUUAUGAGACCCACAUUUUGGAUGCUUGGUCCCAACCUGGUGGUACUAUUUUGGAAGGUUCUCAAGAUUUUGAGAGGGGGAAGAAGUGGGCCACUUCCUAGGGAGGUGGGUCUUAGUGGUCUAUCAUCCCUAGCCUGUCUUGCACUCUGAAUAGCCAUUCUCCACCAUGCUUUCAUGCCUUCUUUUCAACUGCAUGGGGUCCAAGCAACCAUAGAAUUAGCAUUCUGAAUCUGUGAGCCAGAGCAUAUUUUUUCCUCCCUUAAAUUAUUUUUUGGCUGUCAUGACACAAAACCAACCACCGUGGUUUGAUGGAAAAUAUCCUCCAUAGGUUCAUGAAUUUGAACAAUUGGUUGCCAGUUGGUGGCGCUGUUUGGAGAGGCUGUAAAGCCUUUAGGAGAUGGAGCCUUGAAGGAGGAAGUCAGUCACUGAAGCAGGCUCCGGGAGUUCCUAUCCUUGGCCCACUUCAGUUCCGUUUCUUCUUUCUGUUAGCUGUUCUUCAAUGUGUGAUAGAUAUCCAAGAUGUGCAAGCUAAGCUUCAUGUUCCAGCCACCAACUGCCAUGCCUCUGCUGCCAUUACAGACUCCUACCCCUGGAACUGUAGCCAAAAUAAACACCUCCAUAAUUUGCUCCUGGCCACAGUAUUUUAUUACAGCAACAGAAAAGCAAUUAAGACAGUAAAUAAAAAUAAAAAAGUAUAAAUAAAAAAAAACUGGAUCUAAAAGUG
rnacentral:lncRNA from 1 species